rnacentral:rRNA from 1 species
AUUGAACGCUGGCGGAAUGCUUUACACAUGCAAGUCGAACGGCAGCAUAGGUGCUUGCACCUGAUGGCGAGUGGCGAACGGGUGAGUAAUACAUCGGAACGUGCCCAGUCGUGGGGGAUAACGUAGCGAAAGUUACGCUAAUACCGCAUACGAUCUAAGGAUGAUAGCGGGGGACCGUAAGGCCUCGCGCGAUUGGAGCGGCCGAUGUCAGAUUAGGUAGUUGGUGAGGUAAAGGCUCACCAAGCCGACGAUCUGUAGCUGGUCUGAGAGGACGACCAGCCACACUGGGACUGAGACACGGCCCAGACUCCUACGGGAGGCAGCAGCGGGGAAUUUUGGACAAUGGACGCAAGUCUGAUCCAGCCAUUCCGCGUGCAGGACGAAGGCCUUCGGGUUGUAAACUGCUUUUGUACGGAACGAAAAAGCUCUUACUAAUACUAGGAGUCCAUGACGGUACCGUAAGAAUAAGCACCGGCUAACUACGUGCCAGCAGCCGCCGCAG